rnacentral:rRNA from 1 species
CCUACGGGUGGCUGCAGUCGAGAAUCUUCGGCAAUGGGCGCAAGCCUGACCGAGCGACGCCGCGUGGGGGAUGAAGGCCUUCGGGUUGUAAACCCCUGUCGAGGGGGAGCAAGGUGGCGCGAAGAGCGUCGCUUGAGCGACCCCUGGAGGAAGCACGGGCUAAGUUCGUGCCAGCAGCCGCGGUAAGACGAACCGUGCGAACGUUAUUCGGAAUCACUGGGCCUAAAGCGCGUGCAGGCGGCCCGGCGCGUCUCCAGCUGAAAUCCCCCGGCUCAACCGGGGAAGUGGCGGGGAAACGGCCGGGCUUGAGGGGGGUAGGGGGAUCGGGAACUCACGGUGGAGCGGUGAAAUGCGUUGAGAUCGUGAGGAACGCCCGCGGCGAAAGCGCGGUCCUGGGCCCCACCUGACGCUGAGACGCGAAAGCCAGGGGAGCGAACGGGAUUAGAUACCCUAGUAGUC